rnacentral:rRNA from 1 species
AGUGAACGCUGGCGGUAGGCCUAACACAUGCAAGUCGAACGGCAGCACAGUAAGAGCUUGCUCUUACGGGUGGCGAGUGGCGGACGGGUGGGGAAUACAUCGGAAUCUACUUUUUCGUGGGGGAUAACGUAGGGAAACUUACGCUAAUACCGCAUACGACCUACGGGUGGAAGCAGGGGAUCUUCGGACCUUGCGCGAUUGAAUGAGCCGAUGUCGGAUUAGCUAGUUGGCGGGGUAAAGGCCCACCAAGGCGACGAUCCGUAGCUGGUCUGAGAGGAUGAUCGGCCACACUGGAACUGAGACACGGUCCAGACUCCUACGGGAGGCAGCAGUGGGGAAUAUUGGACAAUGGGCGCAAGCCUGAUCCAGCCAUACCGCGUGGGUGAAGAAGGCCUUCGGGUUGUAAAGCCCUUUUGUUGGGAAAGAAAAGCAGCAGGUUAAUACCCCGCUGUUCUGACGGUACCCAAAGAAUAAGCACCGGCUAACUUCGUG